rnacentral:rRNA from 1 species
UACGAAGGGGGCUAGCGUUGCUCGGAAUUACUGGGCGUAAAGCGCACGUAGGCGGAUACUUAAGUUAGGGGUGAAAUCCCGGGGGCUCAACCCCGGAACUGCCUUUAAUACUGGGUAUCUCGAGUUCGAGAGAGGUGAGUGGAAUUCCGAGUGUAGAGGUGAAAUUCGUAGAUAUUCGGAGGAACACCAGUGGCGAAGGCGGCUCACUGGCUCGAUACUGACGCUGAGGUGCGAAAGCGUGGGGAGCAAACAGG